GAAUGCUGACAUAAGUAACGAUAAAGCGGGUGAAAAGCCCGCUCGCCGGAAGACCAAGGGUUCCUGUCCAACGUUAAUCGGGGCAGGGUGAGUCGACCCCUAAGGCGAGGCCGAAAGGCGUAGUCGAUGGGAAACAGGUUAAUAUUCCUGUACUUGGUGUUACUGCGAAGGGGGGACGGAGAAGGCUAUGUUGGCCGGGCGACGGUUGUCCCGGUUUAAGCGUGUAGGCUGGUUUUCCAGGCAAAUCCGGAAAAUCAAGGCUGAGGCGUGAUGACGAGGCACUACGGUGCUGAAGCGACAAAUGCCCUGCUUCCAGGAAAAGCCUCUAAGCAUCAGGUAACAUCAAAUCGUACCCCAAACCGACACAGGUGGUCAGGUAGAGAAUACCAAGGCGCUUGAGAGAACUCGGGUGAAGGAACUAGGCAAAAUGGUGC
rnacentral:rRNA from 1 species